rnacentral:ncRNA from 1 species
CUUAUAAAGAGUGACGGAGGGAUCGGCCCUGUGAAGUCCGGCAACCUGCAUCAGCAAGGUGCCAAAUCCGACGGUAAAACCGGGAGAUAAG